rnacentral:rRNA from 1 species
GAUGAACGCUAGCGGCAGGCUUAAUACAUGCAAGUCGUGGGGCAGCAGGUCUGUAGCAAUACAGAUGCUGGCGACCGGCAAACGGGUGCGGAACACGUACACAACUUUCCUUUAAGUGGGGAAUAGCCCAGAGAAAUUUGGAUUAAUACCCCGUAACAUAGUGAAAAGGCAUCUUUUUAUUAUUAUAGCAGCAAUGCGCUUAAUGAUGGGUGUGCGUCUGAUUAGGUAGUUGGCGGAGUAAUAGCCCACCAAGCCUACGAUCAGUAACUGGUGAGAGAGAACGACCAGUCACACGGGAACUGAGACACGGGCCCGACUCCUACGGGAGGCAGCAGUAAGGAAUAUUGGGCAAUGGACGCAAGUCUGACCCAGCCAUGCCGCGUGGAGGAUGAAGGUCCUCUGGAUUGUAAACUUCUUUUAUCUGGGGAGAAAUCCAUCUUUUCUUGGGUGGUUGACGGUACCAGAUGAAUAAGCACCGGCUAACUCCGUGCCAGCCGCCGCCGUAAAAC